ensembl:misc_RNA Metazoa_SRP Metazoan signal recognition particle RNA
GCUGGGUGUGGUGGCGCGCACCUGUAAUCCCAGCUACUCGGAAGGCUGAGGUGGGAGGGAUCACUUGAGUCCAGGAGUUCUGGGCUGCAGUGCGCUAUGCUGAUCGGGUGUCCCCAUUAAGUUCAGCAUCAAUAUGGUGACCUCCCGGGAGCAGGGCACCACUGGGUUGCCUAAGGAGGGGUGAACCAGCCCAGGCCAGAAAUGGAGCAGGUCAGAUUACCAGGAUGAUGGCACUGCCAAACCAGUCACAUGUAGUGACUUCAUCCCAGCAUUCCUCACUCUAGAUUCACCCACUUAU